rnacentral:rRNA from 1 species
UCAACUUGAGAGUUUGAUCCUGGCUCAGAACGAACGCUGGCGGCAGGCUUAACACAUGCAAGUCGAGCGCCCCGCAAGGGGAGCGGCAGACGGGUGAGUAACGCGUGGGAAUCUACCCAUCUCUACGGAAUAACGCAUGGAAACGUGUGCUAAUACCGUAUACGUCCUUCGGGAGAAAGAUUUAUCGGAGAUGGAUGAGCCCGCGUUGGAUUAGCUAGUUGGUGGGGUAAAGGCCUACCAAGGCGACGAUCCAUAGCUGGUCUGAGAGGAUGAUCAGCCACACUGGGAC